UAGGGAAUCUUCGGCAAUGGACGAAAGUCUGACCGAGCAACGCCGCGUGAGUGAAGAAGGUUUUUCGGAUCGUAAAGCUCUGUUGUAAGAGAAGAACGAGUGUGAGAGUGGAAAGUUCACACUGUGACGGUAUCUUACCAGAAAGGGACGGCUAACUACGUGCCAGCAGCCGCGGUAAUACGUAGGUCCCGAGCGUUGUCCGGAUUUAUUGGGCGUAAAGCGAGCGCAGGCGGUUAGAUAAGUCUGAAGUUAAAGGCUGUGGCUUAACCAUAGUACGCUUUGGAAACUGUUUAACUUGAGUGCAAGAGGGGAGAGUGGAAUUCCAUGUGUAGCGGUGAAAUGCGUAGAUAUAUGGAGGAACACCGGUGGCGAAAGCGGCUCUCUGGCUUGUAACUGACGCUGAGGCUCGAAAGCGUGGGGAGCAAACAGGAUUAGAUACCCCUGGUAGUCCACGCCGUAAACGAUGAGUGCUAGGUGUUAGACCCUUUCCGGGGUUUAGUGCCGUAGCUAACGUAUUAAGCACUCCGCCUGGGGGAGUACGACCGCAAGGUUGAAACUCAAAGGAAUUGACGGGGUCAUAGCUGUUUCCUG
rnacentral:rRNA from 1 species